GCGCUGCUCUGGAUCAGCCGUCCAAGUCGUGAAACACGAAAGACGACCGUCUUUCAAUCUAAGGGCAAAGAGUUUGGGAAGGCUGCUUCACCACGUUCUCUACACCCAACAGGCAUGAGGCACUGUCAAAGACCAAGGAACCUUAUUACAGUACAACACGCACACUACCAAAACCACCCACAUUCUGGACUUCAGUUCCCAUGGCAACUGUGACUUACCGGAUGGCAAGGAGAGGAUGGCAGGGAGUUGCAAGAGCCCUCACUCUCUGCAAGUCCUCUAAAACUUUGCAAAUUGGAGGAGUAGGGGCAGCAGUUUUAUCUACAGGCUAUAUGUUACUUGAUCUAGAGGAGAAGAGAGCGCUCAGAUCACUGAUUGGAAGUUCUAUUAGGUUCGCACGCUCGUUGAGCAUUGGUUUAAUCAUAUCUGCAGACUAUUUGCUGGCUCCCACAGUAGGGGAUGAGGAUAAAUUGAUCCACAAAAGAUCAGCUCAGCGUAUAUUUGAGGGCUGCCUUCUUAAUGGAGGAUUGUAUAUUAAGCUUGGACAAGGACUAGCAGCCCUCAAUCACAUUCUUCCUAGAGAGUACGUUGAGACACUGACACUCUUACAGGACAAAUGUUUGACAAGAGAGCCUGAUGAAGUUGACUCUGUUUUUCUGGAGGAGUUUGGAUCAAAGCCCAAGGAUGUGUUUAAGGAGUUUAAUGAAGAACCAAUUGCAGCUGCCAGCCUGGCACAAGUCUUCAAGGGAAUCACUCAUGAUGGUGAGCCAGUUGCUAUUAAAGUACAGUACAUCGAUUUACAGGAUCGAUUCAAAUCUGACAUAAAAACCAUUGAGUUUCUGUUGAAGAUUGUAUCUGUAAUUCAUCCAAAGUUUGACUUUCACUGGGUCUUGCAGGAACUUAAAGAUACUCUAGCUCAAGAACUUGACUUCAUUUUGGAGGGAAAAAAUUCAGAAAGGUGUGCAAAUGAUCUGAAAUCGCACAAGGAAGUACAUGUACCUAAGGUUUACUGGAAUUGCAGUACAAAAAGAAUAUUAACAACCGAAUGGAUAGAUGGCUGCAAAAUAAAUGAUACAGCAUGUUUGAAAGAGCAGGGAUUGGACCUUUCUGACGUGGACAGAAAACUUUUUUCUGUUAUGGCGGAACAAAUAUUCCACACCGGAUUCAUACAUGCCGAUCCACAUCCUGGCAAUAUUCUAGUGAGAAGAGGUAGCGAUGGCAAAGCCCAAAUAGUUCUACUGGAUCAUGGUCUCUACGAAAUAUUGCCAGAAAAAGUGAGGCAUACUUUAUGCAAUUUUUGGGAGUCUAUAGUGUUGAGAAAAUAUAAUAAGAUGAAAAAAUAUGCUCAAGAAUUGAAUGUGGAUGAUCAUAUAUUACUGGCAGAAAUGAUAACUCAGGCACCAAUGUUUGUGCCAGGAAUUACUAGUAUGCCAUCAGGCAUGACAUUAGAUAGCUACAUGCAACAGCAAGCUAAAGAAAGAUUUGAUAAAGUCGUGAUUGCAUUGAGGGCAAUGCCUAGUAACCUGAUGCUUGUUAUAAGAAAUUUGAAUACUAUAAGGGCAAUCGCGCGUGAACAUGGCGAUCCAAUAAAUAGAUACAGAGCUUUAGCCAGGCUGGCUGUGUCUGGCAAACAUAGAACGAAUAAUCGAACAUUAUGGAAAAAACUUGCGGGAACUACGAGUUACGUUUGGUUUGAAACCCGCUUGUGGACUCAAAGCAUCAGACUAUGGUUCAUCAAUAUCUACAUCAAGAUUCUACAGGUUGUGGGGUACGAUGUUCAGAAAGCGAUCAAUCAAGCAACUUACUAAAGAAUAUGAGGAGCAUAGAAGUUUUAGUAGAAUAUCGAAGUAGGGGAAUUGGGGGAAUUUUUCAAGCCUCAAAUUCAUAGCAAGGACCUGGACUAUUGGACUAUCAGGAGAUAAUGAGAUCAGCUGCAUGAGAACGUGUGACUUCGAGAUGAAUUUAUUGGCUAGCAAAUACAGACGUGUACAUUACCUAAUAAACGAAAAUCAUUCCGUGAUUUUAAAUUAAUCCAUCCUAU
rnacentral:misc_RNA from 1 species